AUUGAACGCUGUCGGAAUGCUUUACACAUGCAAGUCGAACGGUAGAGGGGGCAACCCCUCGAGAGUGGCGAACGGGUGAGUAAUAUAUCGGAACGUGCCCAGUCGUGGGGGAUAACGUAGCGAAAGUUACGCUAAUACCGCAUACGAUCUAAGGAUGAAAGCGGGGGAUCGCAAGACCUCGCGCGAUUGGAGCGGCCGAUAUCAGAUUAGGUAGUUGGUGGGGUAAAGGCUCACCAAGCCAACGAUCUGUAGCUGGUCUGAGAGGACGACCAGCCACACUGGAACUGAGAACCGGUCCAGACUCCUACGGGAGGCAGCAGUGGGGAAUUUUGGACAAUGGACGCAAGUCUGAUCCAGCCAUUCCGCGUGCAGGAUGAAGGCCCUCGGGUUGUAAACUGCUUUUGUACGGAACGAAAAGGUCUCUCUUAAUACGGGGGACUCAUGACGGUACCGUAAGAAUAAGCACCGGCUAACUACGUGCCAGCCGCCGCGGUAA
rnacentral:rRNA from 1 species